CCUACGGGAGGCAGCAGUGGGGAAUAUUGCGCAAUGGGGGAAACCCUGACGCAGCAACGCCGCGUGAAGGAUGAAGGUUUUUCGGAUUGUAAACUUCUUUGAUGGGGGACGAAGAAAAUGACGGUACCCCGAAAACAAGCCACGGCUAACUACGUGCCAGCAGCCGCGGUAAUACGUAGGUGGCGAGCGUUGUCCGGAAUUACUGGGUGUAAAGGGCGUGUAGGCGGGAUUGCAAGUCAGAUGUGAAAUUCCAGAGCUUAACUCUGGCGCUGCAUCUGAAACUGCGAUUCUUGAGUGCUGGAGAGGAUAGUGGAAUUCCUAGUGUAGCGGUGAAAUGCGUAGAUAUUAGGAGGAACACCAGUGGCGAAGGCGGCUAUCUGGACAGUAACUGACGCUGAGGCGCGAAAGCGUGGGGAGCAAACAGGAUUAGAUACCCUAGGUAGUCCACGCUAGUAAACGAUAGAAUACUAGGUGUAGGAGGUAUCGACCCUUCUGUGCCGCAGUUAACACAAUAAGUAUCCACCGUGGGAGUACGGCCGCGAGGUUGAAACGUCAAAUGAAUUGACGGCUUGACUUGCCGAGGCACACGAGGGAG
rnacentral:rRNA from 1 species